rnacentral:rRNA from 1 species
AUUCCAGCUCCAAUAGCGUAUAUUUAAGUUGUUGCAGUUAAAAAGCUCGUAGUUGGAUUUCGGGCGGGGCUUGCCGGUCCGCUCUUCGAGUGUGCACUGGCGGCGCCGUCUUUCUGUCGAGGACGCGCUUCUGGCCUUUACUGGUCGGGACGCGGAGUCGGCGAGGUUACUUUGAAAAAAUUAGAGUGUUCAAAGCGGGCUUUCGCUUGAAUAUAUUAGCAUGGAAUAACACUAUAGGACUCCUGUCCUAUUUUGUUGGUCUUCGGGACGGGAGUAAUGAUUAAGAGGAACAGUUGGGGGCAUUCGUAUUUCAUUGUCAGAGGUGAAAUUCUUGGAUUUAUGAAAGACGAACUUCUGCGAAAGCAUUUGCCAAGGAUGUUUUCAUCA